GUUGAACGCUGGCGGCAUGCCUUACACAUGCAAGUCGAACGGCAGCAUGAUCUAGCUUGCUAGAUUGAUGGCGAGUGGCGAACGGGUGAGUAAUACAUCGGAACGUGCCCUGUAGUGGGGGAUAACUAGUCGAAAGAUUAGCUAAUACCGCAUACGACCUGAGGGUGAAAGUGGGGGACCGCAAGGCCUCAUGCUAUAGGAGCGGCCGAUGUCUGAUUAGCUAGUUGGGGAGGUAAAGGCUCACCAAGGCGACGAUCAGUAGCUGGUCUGAGAGGACGAUCAGCCACACUGGGACUGAGACACGGCCCAGACUCCUACGGGAGGCAGCAGUGGGGAAUUUUGGACAAUGGGGGCAACCCUGAUCCAGCAAUGCCGCGUGUGUGAAGAAGGCCUUCGGGUUGUAAAGCACUUUUGUCCGGAAAGAAAUCGCACUUACUAAUAUUAGGUGUGGAUGACGGUACCGGAAGAAUAAGGACCGGCUAACUACGUGCCAGCAGCCGCGGUAAAAC
rnacentral:rRNA from 1 species